AGAGUUUGAUCCUGGCUCAGAGCGAACGCUGGCGGCAGGCUUAACACAUGCAAGUCGAGCGGGCGUAGCAAUACGUCAGCGGCAGACGGGUGAGUAACGCGUGGGAACGUACCUUUUGGUUCGGAACAACCCAGGGAAACUUGGGCUAAUACCGGAUAAGCCCUUACGGGGAAAGAUUUAUCGCCGAAAGAUCGGCCCGCGUCUGAUUAGCUAGUUGGUGAGGUAAUGGCUCACCAAGGCGACGAUCAGUAGCUGGUCUGAGAGGAUGAUCAGCCACAUUGGGACUGAGACACGGCCCAAACUCCUACGGGAGGCAGCAGUGGGGAAUAUUGGACAAUGGGCGCAAGCCUGAUCCAGCCAUGCCGCGUGA
rnacentral:rRNA from 1 species